rnacentral:rRNA from 1 species
GAUGAACGCUGGCGGCGUGCUUAACACAUGCAAGUCGAACGAAGCACUUUAUUUGAUUUUCUUCGGAAAUGAAGAUUUUGUGACUGAGUGGCGGACGGGUGAGUAACGCGCGGAUAACCUGCCUCAUACAGGGGGAUAACAGCCGGAAACGGCUGCUAAUACCGCAUAAGCGCACGGUACCGCAUGGUACAGUGUGAAAAACUCCGGUGGUAUGGGAUGGAUCCGCGUCUGAUUAGCCAGUUGGCGGGGUAACGGCCCACCAAAGCGACGAUCAGUAGCCGACCUGAGAGGGCGACCGGCCACAUUGGGACUGAGACACGGCCCAAAACUCCUACGGGAGGCAGCAGUGGGGAAUAUUGCACAAUGGGGGAAACCCUGAUGCAGCGACGCCGCGUGAGCGAAGAAGUAUUUCGGUAUGUAAAGCUCUAUCAGCAGGGAAGAAGAAAUGACGGUACCUGACUAAGAAGCCCCGGNUAACUACGUG